GACGAACGCUGGCGGCGUGCUUAACACAUGCAAGUCGAACGAAGUGGCGAACGGGUGAGUAACGCGUAAUCAACCUGCCCAUCAGAGGGGGACAACAGUUGGAAACGACUGCUAAUACCGCAUACUGAAGGAGGGGCUUGCGUCGGAUUAGCUGGUUGGGGGGGUAACGGCCCACCAAGGCGAUGAUCAGUAGCCGGUACUAGGGGAUGACCAGCCACACUGGAAAUGAGACACGGGCCAGACUCCUACGGGAGGCAGCAGUGGGGAAUAUUGCACAAUGGGCGGAAGCCUGACGGAGCAACGCCGCGGGAGUUAUGACGGCCUUCGGGUUGUAAAGCUCUGUUAAUCGGGACGCGGUACCGGAAUAGAAAGCCACGGCUAACUACGUGCCAGCAGCCGCGGUAAUUC
rnacentral:rRNA from 1 species